CCUGCUGGCGUAGGCUACGUCGCCGCAGGAAUUUUAACUUGACUCUCGCAAGAGCCCCGUUCCUCACCUAAGUUCGGUCCCCAGUACAGCAGCUUCUCAGGCUCACGCCCACCUCCCCGCCGCUCCCCUCCCGCCUUUGGCCACGCCUCUCUGGCCGCUGGGCGCCUGGUGGCUGAGCCGGGAUCCCAGCGGCCGGACGGCUGCUGGCUCAGUGCGCCAUCCAAUCCCAGGCCACAGCGCCUCGCCUCAGGGAUAAGGAAACCGAGACUCUGAGAAGGGACGUAACUAACUCAGUGUCAAGCGGGAGGUCUGGCCGUGGGGAAUAAAAGGUGAGGCCUGGGGCAAAAGACUGGUCGGCGUCCAGUAACCCACAGGGCUCAGCCAAAGGCUCCACUAGCAGACAAUGACUCUCUGCUAAUUCAGGGGAGAAGUUGGACUCAACUAUGUGACCUGGGCCUGGCCUUUUCAGCUCUGGCGCCCAUCACAAGAAAUCCCCAGGCUCACGUGAUAAGAAUGCAGCUGGACCCAUCCAGGAAAUGGAGACCUGUGGAAGGGAGGGAAAGUGGAACCGUCAUGGCCAGCAAUGGCGGGGAGAAACUGCAGCCCCCGGCCAACAGUCAACACCAACUUUCUGUGAGUGAAUCGCAUUGGAAAUGGAUCCUAAGCCCCAGUCAGGUCUUCAGCUAAGACUGCAGCCCUGGUGGACACCUGACUGCAGUGUCACAAAAGACCCUGAACCAGAAUCACCCUGUGGAGCCCAAAUUCCUGACCCACCAAAACUGUGAGAGAUAUUAAAUGAUAAUUGUUUUUGAGCUUCCAUGUUUUGGGAAAAUCAGUUACAUGGCAAUUCUAGAGUAUUCUAGAGGAAACAUCUCAUUCAGGAGCCCCAAGGCAAAAAUGACCUUUCUGUGCUUGAGGGCAGCCAGUGUGGCUGGAGUAGAGUAAAGGAACCAAUAAUAGGGAGGGGUCAAGAGGUGACUAGGCACCUCACAUUGGGUCAUGCAGACCAGGCAGCUGGAAGCCCACAGUUUGAGGAUUGUGAGCUGGAGGAAGGGUGUGGUGAUGUUUUGAUUUAUAUCUUUUUAACAACCUCUGUAUACACAAAAGAAGUGAGAAGAGAUAUCUGUACAUCCAUGUUCAUAACAGCAUUAUUCACAAUAGCCGAGAGGUGGAAACAACUCAAGUGUCCAUCCCCAGAUGAAUGGAUAUACAAAUGUGGUCGGUCCAUACAAUGGAAUAUUAUUCAGUCUUCAAAAGGAGGGAAAUUCAGAUACAUGUUACAACAUGGAUGAACCUUGAAGACAUUAUGCUAAGUGAAAUAAUCCAGACACAAAAGAACAAAUACUGUAUGAUCUCAUUAUACCUGAAGUAGUCAAAUUCAUACAGACAGAACAGUGGCUGCCAGGAGCUGUGGGGAGGGGAAAUAGGGAAGUUAGUGUUUAAUGGGGACAGAGUUUCAGUUAGGAAGAUGAAAAUGUGCUGGAGAUGGAUGGUGGUGAUGGGUGAUGGUGGCACAAGAAUGUGAAGGUACUUAAUGUCAGUGAACUGCACACUUAAAAUGAUUAAAACAGCAAAUUUUAUGUUACAUAUAUUUUACCAAAAUUAAAAAAAAGAAAUACCUGGUAGCUAUGAGGUGGUGGAGUCUGGAGGUCCCUGACUGGAGACAGGGAGACCAUGUGGAGGCUUUCUUAACAGUCUAGGCCAGGGGUCCUCAAACUACGGCCCGCGGGCCACAUGCGGCCCACCGAAGACAUUGAUCCGGCCCUCCGGGUGUUUUUGCCACCGCUGCCUGUCCUGCUACAGUACGCAUGUAUGGAAUGUGUGCUGCACUCUCCGACUCCUCUCCUCUCUGUCUCUCCACAACUCCUCUCAGUCUUGGGACUAACUGAUGCACACUUGCAUCACUUGUUAUGACUAGCAGUGACAAAUAUGAAACUAGACAUUGACUAUCUCAUUAGCCAAAAGCAGGCCCAUAGUUCCACUGAAAUACUGGUAAGUUUGUUGAUUUAACUAUAGUUGUUCUUUAUUUUAAAUAUUGUAUUUGUUCCCAUUUUGCUUUUUUUAAUUCAAAAUAAGAUAUGUGCAAUGUGCAUAGGAAUUUGUUCAUAGUUUUCUUUUUAAAACUAUAUUCUGGCCCUCCAACGGUCUGAGGGACAGUGAACUGGCCCCCUGUUUAAAAAGUUUGAGGAUCCCUGGUCUAGGCAAAAGGAAGCUUGACCCAGAGUGGCAGUUGUGGAGGUGGGAGAAGGGGUGGAUCCUGUCUGAAAUUUGAGGAUGAGCCAAAGGACCUGGCUGUGGGGCCAAAGAGUAAGUGAAGAGCCAUGAGGUUUGGGCCUGGAAGAGUGGAGAGAGGAAGACCCAAGAGGUCUUCUCUGGCCAUGCCAAGUUUAAGAAGUCUGAGGUCAUCUGUAUCUAAGCUCUUUCUGCAUGACCAACAGAAUGUCAGCCCAAGCUUUAAAGAACUAACAGCUCCCACCUAUUCUUUGGAAUGCUGACUCUUGAAACCCAGCCACCAUGAUAGAAAGCAAUACCACAUGGUGUUUCAAUGGAGAGCCUCAGCUGAGAUCUCAGACAACAUCUAGUAUCCCCUGCCUGGCACAUGAGUAAGGAUGCCCUGGGAGGUACAGCCUCGGGGAGAGCCAGCUGCGGCCUCUGUUUAACAGUAAUCACAUGUGAGAACCACAAAAAUGAACCAGCCAGCAAACACACAGAACCAGGAGAAAGAGUAUCAUGCUGGCUGCUGUUGUUUGAAGCCACUAAGUUUUGGGGUGAUUCACUGUAGAGCAACAGAAAAAAUGAAACACGAGGUAACGAAACUGUUGAGGAAUCAACUCAUGAGACACAAUUUUUUCCCCAACCGCUGUUCCCCAACUGGAGGAUAUUCUACUGAGUGAUGACAUCUGUUAAUGUUUAGCCUUAUAAUUUUACAGCCACUUCUAGUUAUUAGAAUGGCAACAUUCCAGCAUUUGAGGCUGACGCAUGUUUCUUUGUUAACUUAGCUUCCUAUCAACUGAAAACCAUGGGUCUCACCAAUACGGUAUUUGAAAGACAACCGAACCAGUCAUUAGAGGACUUGAGGCAAUGAUAAGGAUGACAUGGUAGCCCAGUUGCUGCAUACAGCUACGUAGUUCCCCUCUGCUUUUACCCAAGCUAAAGAGUGCCUCUGCUGGUGACUUUGUGGCUGGAUAGAGUCACAUGCUUAGCCUGGUCAAUGCCUUAUGAACCGAAGUGAUGUGUGUCCCCUCCAGGCCAGAGUACUGUGUUGCAAUGCAAGCCCCUCCAGCAUCUUCUUCUCCGCCAUAAGACAUACUGGAAUCAGGGUUGCUCUACCAGCUGGGGUCCUGGCAACUCCACUGAGCAGAGGCUCUGCAGAUCCUGGCUGGAGACAGUGAAACUAGGAAAUAAACUUGGUGGUUUAGGCUCCUGGGGAUUGUUUUAGUAGAAUAGCCUCACUAAUCUUGAUGGACACAAUAAUAAAAUUUUUUUUUUCAGCAGAGAAGGUAAGUGUGGGUGUGAUGUUCUAGGCAGAGGAAGAAGUGUGUGCUAAGAUGGAACAACAUGGGCAGCACCUGUGGCUCAGUGAGUAGGGCACUGGCCCCAUAUACCAAGGGUGGCUGGUUCAAACCUGGCCCUGGCCAAAUUGCAGCAAAAAAAUAGCCAGGCAUUGUGGUGGGCACCUGUAGUCCCAGCUACUUGGGAGGCUGAGGCAAGAGAAUCACCUAAGCCCAGGAGUUGGAGGUUGCUGUGAGCUGUGUGAUGCCACGGCACUCUACCAAGGGUGAUAAGUGAGACUCUGUCUCUACAAAAAAAAAAAAAAAAAAAAAAUGGAACAACAUGUGCUAAGGCUUUGGAUGGGAGUGAGCUGGCUGUGUCCAGGAAAAUCAUAAUGGUAGGUUGUUACCUGGCUGUACUAGUAGUGGGUACUAGGCCUCACAGGUAUGUGAGGGAGGGAUUUGGGGCCAACUCUCCUUUCCCUCUUUUCCCCUGGAGCAGAGCCCCACAGUUCUGACAAUGCCUGUGGAAGGACAUGACUUUCCACUCCAUGGCAUUUCCCAUGGAGUAAGACCCUCUGGCCGUGAUGCGGGCUUGCAGGGGGAGGGGUGUCUAGUGUGCUGCAAUGGGCAGUGGCUCUGCUUUGCGGCCAGGCCCCAUGUAAUUCCUCCUCCAACCCCUCUGCUCACUGUGGCCUUUCCAUAGCCACCUGGAUACCCAUUUCUGUAACUGUUAGCUACUGGGAACAAAACUCCUGUCCCCCUAAACCUUCAUAGGCAGGCUUCUUGCCUCCCACCUUAGUUCUGAUGCCUGGCCUGCCCUGCAUGGCAGUGGGUCUACAGCCUGCCUGGCUCCUACCUCACCCCAAUGAGGAUUAAUGGGAUGGAGAAGGCUUGGUGGGGGCUAAAACUUAGAACAAGAGAAGCCAGAGCCUUUUGUCAUCUUUGCUGAUCCUUGGCCUGAGCUGAAGUCCCAAAAGGAGCUGAGUGGUCUCUGAACCCCAUGAUGCAAAUCAGCAUCUGCCUGUAUCCCCAGGCAGCAGUAGGGUGGGCCAUGGGCAUGUGUGCUGCUGCCUGGCCCUGGCCCUGGCCUGGCCUGCAUCUGAGCCUGCAGGACCCUCAGGGCACAUUGCUGGGGCCACCACUGUCCACUCCCAUCAUAGCUGGGGAGAGCUUUGAUAAACCCCAACAGAUGAAAGCUGUAUCUCCUGGUGAGGCCUGGGUCUGUGUUUUCUUGCCUCUGUCCCCCUGUGCACCCUUAGGGACCCCGAGAUGCCCCAGAGCAUGACAUGAAAACCACCCAGCAUAUCCUCUGGCCUCACAAUCCCUCUCCAGGAGUCUAUCCAAAGGAAAUCGCAUCCUAGUACCAUGGUAUGUACAAAGGUGACAGCCAAAAUGUGAAAACACCUAAGUGUCCCUCAGGUGGGGAUUUAUCACAUAAAUUAUGGCGCAUCUGUCAUCUGUAUCUGUAGUCUACCAUGAAAGCAUUCAGUCUAUGUGAUAUGAACACGUGGCAAUGUGGCUUCAGCAGGCAAGGGGUAGCGCAGGUGAGGCCUUCUCCCUCCUGACUGCCAGCUCUUUCUCCUCAGAGUCCCAACACAGUUGCUAGGCCUCCAGGCAGAAAGCAGGGGAAGGUCAAAGCACAAACUCCAGUGACUUUUCUCAAUGACCAGAGGUAGGUCACAUCCCAAAUUAUGGGAGGCUAGAGGUAUAUUUGUACCUGGCCCAAGCCAAACUUGGGGCUCAGAGGUGAGAGAAAUGGGGUGUGGAACUACAGAAUGAGCUCUGAGAUCAUCGUAUUUUGAAAUUUCAUUAAAAAAAUUUUUUUUCAGCCAGGUGUGGUGGCUCACGCCUGUAAUCCUAGCACUCUGGGAGGCUGAGGCAGGUGGAUUGCCUGAGCUCAAAGGUUCUAGACCAGCCAGAGCAAGAGUGAGACCCCGUCUCUAAAAAUAGCCAGGCACUGUGGUGGGUGUCUGUAGGCCAAGCUACUUGGGAGGCUGAGGCAAGAGAAUCUCUUGAGCCCAAGAGUUUGAGGUUGCUGUGAGCUAUGAUGCUAUGGCACUCUACCGAGGGUGACAAAAUAAGUCUCUGUCUCAAAAAAUAAAAUAAAAUCAUUAAAUUUAAAUUAAAAAAAUUUUUUUAGAGGCAGGGUCUCAUCAUAUUUCCCAGUCCAGAGUCCAAAGGCAUAAUCAUAGCUCACAGCAACCUUGAACUCCUGGGCACAAGUGAUUCUCCUACCUUAGCCUUUUGAGUAGCUAGGACUAACUUUUAACAAAAUGUUUUUAAAGAUGGGGUCUUGCUGUGUUGCCCAGGCUGGUCUUGAACUCCUGGCUUCAACUGUUCCUCUUGCCUCAACCUCCUACGUUUCUGGGAUACAGGAGUGUGCCACUGCACCCUGCUCUCUGAGCUCAUCUUAAUGGAAGUAAACAACAGGCACAGUAGCAGGUGCAAAUGUCUAAAACCACACCUGCAUCAGCAUGUGUAUGUACACAUAGGUCUGCUGCACAAAGCUCUCCCUCUGGCAGUGAGGCUGGGAGGGUAAGAGACAGGGUUA